GCCUUCCUGCUCCCAGAGUCUGACAUUGAGGACGACAGUGCGAUAACCCUAAUUUAAAUGCAUAUACAAGAUUGAACAAGGGAAACAGACUAUCACGUCUCUCAACACCUCUGAAGCUCUCACGAGACGACAAUGGCGAACCUUUCCGAAGAGAUUAUCAUCGAAAUACUGUCGAGACUCCCCAUCACCACUCUCUGCCGAUUCAGGUCCCUCCAAGUACAGAUGGAAGCAUGCGAAGCCAAGAAUAAAGCGGAUUUGUCAAAGGCAAAGAGAUAUAGGUUGGAUGAGUGAACCAUUCAGCUCCAAGAGUGAUGGUUUCAUCCGGUAGAAUAACGUGGACAGAGAGCCACCAGGCUAUUUGAGAUCCUCAAUGGAAGUAGGUAUUUAUCAAGAUGCAUGUGGGAAGGAUGACGGCUUAGUUGAAUAGGCUUGAGUGACUUUUAUAUUUUUGUUGGGCUGAUGUUACUCCAUGUUAUUUGGUGGUGGUGUCAGUAAUGUGAAUUUGUUAACAUUAGUGUCAUUUUGAUAUCAGAAGUGCUGUAGAGCUCUAAUUAGAGCUGCUACAGUGCAGCUCUAAUGAGCUGUCCACCUUUAAAAAAAAAAAAAAGAACAAACA